UGAAACGCUAGGUCUUGAUGCUCCUGAGG
rnacentral:piRNA from 1 species